rnacentral:rRNA from 1 species
CAGGCCUAACACAUGCAAGUCGAACGGUGCAGCAAUGCACAGUGGCAGACGGGUGAGUAACGCGUAGAUAACGUGCCCUCUUGCGGGGGAUACCAGUUCGAAAGGACUGUUAAUACCGCAUAAUGUCUCCUGGUGGCAUCUUCGGGAGAACAAACUGAUUCAGGGCGAGAGGAGCGGUCUGCGUACUAUCAGGUAGUUGGUGAGGUAACGGCUCACCAAGCCUACGACGGUUAACUGGUCUGAGAGGAUGAUCAGUCACACUGGAACUGAGACACGGUCCAGACUCCUACGGGAGGCAGCAGUGAGGAAUAUUGCGCAAUGGGCGAAAGCCUGACGCAGCGACGCCGCGUGGAGGAUGAAGGCCCUCGGGUUGUAAACUCCUGUCAGUUGGGAAGAGAAUGGACGGUACCAACUGAGGAAGCUUCGGCUAACUACGUGCCAGCAGCCGCGGUAAU